GAGAGAGGGGGAGGGAGGAGGAGGAAGCGCGCCUCGGCCGCGGCGGCUAGAGCUGGAGCCGGGGAGACCGCUUCAAAAAAAAAUUAUUAAAAAAUCGAGCAAAAAGCCCAGAACCCCCCUCUGGGCCUGAAAACCCCAGAGAGGCUCCGGGCUCCCCGGAAUAAAGGUUUCGGGUGCCCGUAAGGUCAGGAUCUGCACCCCAGGGGCUCUGAAUCCCGCGGGGGAAACUUGCGGAGCUCCCGGCCGCGGCCCACAAGGGCAGCAGGAGCUGGGAAGUCUGUGCCCGGCCGGGGGCUGGGUGAGGCGGAAUCAGGGACCCCCUCCCCUCCAGGAGGCACGAGGGACUCUGACCUCCCGUUUGGGGGGUGCCCCCUCGCCCGCUCCGCACACACACACCUCCUCCCCCGCUUCCUACCCCACCCAAAUCUGCGCGCUUUAGAGGCAGCCAAACUAAUGUUCCAGCAAUUGGGGAAGAAAACCCUUGCCAGUGUUGUUCUCUUGGGAGCCAACAGUGCCAGCUUCACUCCACGAGUGUGGGUCUUCUGAAGCCAAGACUUUGCCUUCCAGUCCAAGGUUUCAGCACAUGGAAUGGCACUGCCUGUAUUCAGGGUGGGUCUUGCCUCUUCAGUUAAACCUCCCUGGAAACCCCACCACAGACAUAUUCAGAAGCG